CGCGAAUCGCCCUUCGGGGUGCCCAGGCGCGAAACCUUUACACUGCGGGAAACCGCGAUAAGGGGACCCCGAGUGCCAGCACCUAGGUGCUGGCUGUCCCGCUGUCUAAACAACAGUGGUUAGCAAGGGCCGGGCAAGACCGGUGCCAGCCGCCGCGGUAACACCGGCGGCCCGAGUGGUAGCCGCUAUUAUUGGGUUUAAAGGGCCCGUAGCCGGCCUAUUAAGUCUCUUGGGAAAUCUGGCGGCUUAAUCGUCAGGCGUCCAAGAGAUACUGGUAGGCUUGGGACCGGGAGAGGUGGGAGGUACUCCAGGGGUAGGGGUGAAAUCUCGUAAUCCUUGGGGGACCACCGAUGGCGAAGGCAUCCCACCAGAACGGGUCCGACGGUGAGGGACGAAAGCUGGGGGCACGAACCGGAUUAGAUACCCGGGUAGUCCCAGCUGUAAACGAUGCUCGCUAGGUGUCAGGUGCGGUGCGACCGCAUCUGGUGCCGCAGUGAAAACUUGAAGCGAGUCACCUGGGAAGUACGGUCGCAAGGCUGAAACUUAAAGGAAUUGGCGGGGGAGCAC
rnacentral:rRNA from 1 species